rnacentral:lncRNA from 1 species
GUCAAUCAAACAUCAAGGGAAAGAGUUGUACAGUAUGUCACAAAAAACAACUUUUCCACAAUUAAAGAUCAUGAUUAUGAGCACAAUGUGAAUUUUGGUCAGCCUGCAUACCUUGCAAUCAAAUAAUCUUCUUUGUCCAAUCAAGAAGCUCGGUAACAACAAUCCAAUAUAUAUAAAGAGAGAAACAGAUAGAAUUGAGAUUAAAAGGUGGGAGAGAGAGUGUAUCACUUUCUCUCUCUACCGUGAGAAGAAGGAGAUACGGGAGAAAAGUUAUCAAAGGUUUGGCAUAUAUAAAUUGGGGAGAGAGAAAAACCCUUUCUUUGUUCGGGGGUAUUUUGGGAAUAUGGGAAUUCGUUUUAUAGAUAGAUUUUCAAUUUUGGUCCUUUAGGUUUCCUUAAAUUAUCAUUUUUCUACCAUGGUUUUUAGUGGUUGCAUCAAAGUUUGGCAUAUAAAUUUGGGAAAAUUGCAGCAGCCAUCCC